UGUUCUUCAAGUUACCUGUCCAUUCUUGCUGAUCAACUUGGGUUUCAUUCCAUUUAGUCAGUGAGUGAAUACAUAUUUGUUGGAGAAAUUGUUUUGGGAUUUGGUUGCAUAGAAAAUUACACUAUGGAAUGUUGAAAGUAUGCUGUAACUCUGUUGCUGGUUUGAUUUGGCUGUGGAUCUUAGCUUUAUCCUCUUUCUCAGUUUCAUAUUAGUGGUUUGUUGCCAUGUUUGAUGCCUAUCUGCUUAAGGCACAAUACUAUUUGGUCUUCUGAUAUUCAUUCUAGUCGAUCCAUUUCUCCUACAUACUGAUGAUUGAUUGUUGGUNNGGACUGCUCCUUUUGAGUUGCCUAGCAUCUGUCAGCAUUGAUGGUAAUGAAAGAGAUUCUUACAAAAGCCUUAUGUGGAUUUUGCUAAAGGAGUAGCUUUUUGGACUUGAAGUUGCU
rnacentral:lncRNA from 1 species